rnacentral:rRNA from 1 species
GACGAACGCUGGCGGCGUGCUUAACACAUGCAAGUCGAACGGUGACGGAGAGCUUGCUCUCCUGAUCAGUGGCGAACGGGUGAGUAACACGUGGGCAACCUGCCCCAGACUUCGGGAUAACGCUUCGAAAGAGGUGCUAAUACCGGAUACGAGCUCCUUGGGCAUCCUUGGAGUUGGAAAGUUUUUCGGUCUGGGAUGGGCCCGCGGCCUAUCAGCUAGUUGGUGAGGUAACGGCUCACCAAGGCGACGACGGGUAGCUGGCCUGAGAGGGCGACCGGCCACACUGGGACUGAGACACGGCCCAGACUCCUACGGGAGGCAGCAGUGGGGAAUAUUGCGCAAUGGGCGAAAGCCUGACGCAGCAACGCCGCGUGAGGGAUGACGGCCU